GACGAACGCUGGCGGCGUGCUUAACACAUGCAAGUCGAACGGGAAGGCCCUGCUUUUGUGGGGUGCUCGAGUGGCGAACGGGUGAGUAACACGUGAGUAACCUGCCCUUGACUUUGGGAUAACUUCAGGAAACUGGGGCUAAUACCGGAUAGGAGCUCCUGCUGCAUGGUGGGGGUUGGAAAGUUUCGGCGGUUGGGGAUGGACUCGCGGCUUAUCAGCUUGUUGGUGGGGUAGUGGCUUACCAAGGCUUUGACGGGUAGCCGGCCUGAGAGGGUGACCGGCCACAUUGGGACUGAGAUACGGCCCAGACUCCUACGGGAGGCAGCAGUGGGGAAUAUUGCACAAUGGGCGGAAGCCUGAUGCAGCAACGCCGCGUGCGGGAUGACGGCCUUCGGGUUGUAAACCGCUUUCGCCUGUGACGAAGCGUGAGUGACGGUAAUAGGUAAAGAAGCACCGGCUAACUACGUG
rnacentral:rRNA from 1 species